rnacentral:piRNA from 1 species
UAGACUAUAUGAUGGUAGGCCACAAA